AAAAAGAUAAGCUAAGAAAAGCUUUUAGGUUCAUACCCUAAAUAUAGGAAUUAUAAAUCCUUCUUUUUA
rnacentral:tRNA from 1 species